GUGCCUGGCCAAUAAGUUGCAUUUCAAAGAGCCUUCCUGUUUUUCCUUUCGGCCCAGUUAUAGGUAAAAUCAUUGUUUUUAUGUUGAAGCAAUAAGUUUUGAUGUCUUGUGUUAUAUUUUAGAAAACCAUGAUUUGGGAAAGAAAAUUCCGGAAGACAAGGAUGGCUGAUGAGUGGAUUGAAUUUAAAUAGAUCAUUUUAUUUUAUGUAUUUUUUAGAGACAGGGCCUUUCUCUCUCUGUUGCCCAGGUUGGAGUACAUGGCGUGAUCAAAGCUCACUGUAAAAAUAGGUCAUUUUCUAUUCAGUAAAGAUUGCUCUAAUUAGUUGAAAUGACUUUGAAAUGUGUCUCUUUUCUUGAAAUAAGCGUCAGGUUGCUCGUGUGAAUGUGAUCUCUUUUAACAAAGAAUGAUAUCAAUAACCUCAGAGUAGGGCCGAGCGUCUUGCUGCAGCCUCGGUCGCGAUGAGCACAGCGUCUGGGUCCCGCGAGGUGUGGCCUGCAGGGACUUGAGUUAGUUUGCUCAGCAGCCAUUUGGCCCAGCUUCCUCGAGGUAGGCUGUGAGCCGCCUUCUGCUCAGCAGUCCGUAUGGAGCAGCAGCUCCAGGAGGUGAGACACUGGCCUGCUACCACCAAGGAAGACACUGGGUACUUUCCAAGUUGUGCAGAAUUUUGGUAGGGAACAAAACAUGACAGAAACAGAUGGCUUCUAUAAAAGAGAAAUAUUUGAUCCAGCAGAAAAGUACAAAAUGGACCACAGGAGGAGAGGAAUUGCUUUAAUCUUCAAUCUUGAGAGGUUCUUUUGGCACUUAACACAGCCAGAUAGGCGGGGCACCAGCGCGGACAGAGACCAUCUUACCCGCAGGUUUUCAGAUCUAGGAUUUGAAGUGAAAUGGUUUAACGAUUUUAAAGCAGAAGAACUACUGCUCAAAAUUCAUGAGGUGUCAACUUGUAGCCACGCAGAUGCCGAUUGCUUUAUGUGUGUCUUCCUGAGCCAUGGCAAAGGCAAUCAUGUUUAUGCAUAUGAUGCUAAAAUUGAAAUUCAGACAUUAACUGGCUUGUCAAAUGAGACAAGUGUCGGAGCCUUGUUGGAAAACCCAAGAUAUUUAUCAUUCAGGCAUGUCGGGGAAACCAGCACGAUGUACCGGUCAUUCCUUUGGAUGUCGUAGAUAAUCAGACAGACAAGCUGGACGUGACUGAGGUGGAUGCAGCCUCUGUUUACACACUGCCUGCUGGAGCAGACUUCCUAAUGUGUUACUGUGUUGCAGAAGGGUAUUAUUCUCACCGGGAAACAAUCAGUGGCUCAUGGUACAUUCAAGAUAUGUGUGAGAUGUUGGGAAAAUAUGGCUCCUCCUUAGAGUUCACAGAACUCCUCACACUGGUGAACAGGAAAGUUUCUCAGCGCCGCAUGGACUUUUACAAAAUCCCAAGCGUGACUGGGAAGAAGCAGGUUCCUUGCUUUGCCUCAAUGCUAACUAAAAAGCUGCAUUUCUUUCCAAAGUCUAAUUAAUAGGGGCGAUCUUAUCUUACAGUCUAUAUUGAAAAUGUCUUUCUCUUCUUUUUAUAUAAAUAUCGUUAGGUUAAGCAUAUGGUCAGUGAUUCAAAUGUUUUAAUGUUUAAUGCCCAGCAAAGAACUGCCUUUAAAAAAAAAUAGUUCAUGUUGGCCAUGGUGAAAGGGUUUGAUAUGCAGAAACAAAAUCCUCAGGAAAUCAGAUAAAUAAUUUACAAGCAUUUGUAAUACUUUUUAGUAAACUGCAGGAUUACACAAAAAUCUGGCUGAUUUAACUAGUAUUUUGUCACAUUUUUAAUGAAAGUUUUUAUAAAAGUUGAUUGUUUUUAAAGGUUUUUGAAAUCUAAGAAUUAAAUCAUCCCUUAUAAAAUA